GGCCGAGCCCAGGGCCUGCGCAGUCCUCAUCUGCGGGGCCACCGCACACGGUCUCCAACGGACCCAGACCCCCUGGCGGGGACCCAGCGACCCCCACCCACCUGAAGGCCGGACUUAGCUUGAAGGCAGCACCACCCGGGACAGGCCGACCCCUGCUCCCAGCCCUGCUCUCGGGACUGGACGGGGGCAGCAGGUGAUGACCUUGAGCGGUAACAGGGGAACCUGAGCCUUCAGCAGCCUCGGGCCAGCCUCGCACGGAGAGCCCACGGCAGGGAGGUGCCUAUGUCCCCGCGCCACAGGGGCCAACGUCAAGGAUUUCCAGCCCCAGGCAGGAUGUGAAGAGGCCAACAGCCCAGCAGAUGCUCCAAAGACCCUUUCCCCCUGAGAGCCACGACACGUCACCUCUUUAACAAGCGCGAAGAUUUCUGUAAUGGAGGGGAUGGAGGCCGUCCCAGGGGGCCCCAUGCACCCCCGGAGCUUCCACAAUAAUGAGCUGUGGCCGACCUGGUUUCACCCACACCCCCAAGCCCCCGUCCACCGAAGACUGGCGUGAAGCAAACCCCGGACAUCCUGUUGCUCCAUCUGCAAAUCUCGGUCUAUAGGCAGGGAGUCUUUUUUUUUCCCCCUUUGUAAUUAAUUUGUUCGAGAGAUCAGACUGUCCUGCAACUCUGCGAUCUGGAUUUCGCUGAUUGUUUCCCUGUUGUUACCACGUCCCAUGAACCCUGUAUUUGCUGUAGCUCGGUGGUUAGAACAGAAGUCUGAUCAGACACAGGCUAUCGGGGCGCCUGGGGGGCUCAGCAGUGGAGCGUCUGCCUUCGGCCCAGGGUGUGACCCCGGGGUCCUGGGAUCGAGUCCCACGUCGGCCUCUCUGCAGGGAGCCUGCUUCUCCCUCUGCCUGUGUC